rnacentral:rRNA from 1 species
UACGAAGGGGGCUAGCGUUGUUCGGAAUCACUGGGCGUAAAGGGCGCGUAGGCGGCUUUAUAAGUCGGGGGUGAAAGCCUGUGGCUCAACCACAGAAUUGCCUUCGAUACUGUAGAGCUUGAGACCGGAAGAGGUAAGUGGAACUGCGAGUGUAGAGGUGAAAUUCGUAGAUAUUCGGAAGAACACCAGUGGCGAAGGCGACUUACUGGACGAUUGUUGACGCUGAGGUGCGAAAGCGUGGGGAGCAAACAGG